AGUGAACGCUGGCGGUAGGCCUAACACAUGCAAGUCGAACGGCAGCACAGUAAGAGCUUGCUCUUACGGGUGGCGAGUGGCGGACGGGUGAGGAAUACAUCGGAAUCUACUUUUUCGUGGGGGAUAACGUAGGGAAACUUACGCUAAUACCGCAUACGACCUACGGGUGAAAGCAGGGGAUCUUCGGACCUUGCGCGAUUGAAUGAGCCGAUGUCGGAUUAGUUAGUUGGCGGGGUAAAGGCCCACCAAGGGGACGAUCCGUAGCUGGUCUGAGAGGAUGACCAGCCACAGUGGAACGGAGACCCAGUCCAGAGUCCUACGGGAGGCAGCAGUGGGGAAUAUUGGACAAUGGGCGCAAGCCUGAUCCAGCCAUACCGCGUGGGUGAAGAAGGCCUUCGGGUUGUAAAGCCCUUUUGUUGGGAAAGAAAAGCAGCAGGUUAAUACCCCGCUGUUCUGACGGUACCCAAAGAAUAAGCACCGGCUAACUUCGUG
rnacentral:rRNA from 1 species